rnacentral:rRNA from 1 species
UACGGAGGGUGCAAGCGUUAUCCGGAUUCACUGGGUUUAAAGGGUGCGUAGGUGGGUCUGUAAGUCCGUGGUGAAAUCUCCGAGCUUAACUUGGAAACUGCCAUGGAUACUAUAGAUCUUGAAUACUGUGGAGGUUAGCGGAAUAUGUCAUGUAGCGGUGAAAUGCUUAGAUAUGACAUAGAACACCAAUUGCGAAGGCAGCUGGCUACACAAAUAUUGACACUGAGGCUCGAAAGCGUGGGGAUCAAACAGG